AUAAAGUCCAUGCAAUGUCAGUACUGCUUCAGCUGAAGGAAGCGACUGAAUGGAAAACUCUGUGACUGAAGACAUCCAAGAUGAUCUUCCUCAUCCUGCUGCUCCUCUUCCUCACCCCCUGUGUCUCUGGGAGAAGAUGAUCUUCCUCAUCCUGCUGCUCCUCUUCCUCACCCCCUGUGUCUCUGGAACAUUUGUAGUGAAUGUGACUCAGACUUCCUAUCAGGCAGAGGAGAACCAGAACACCA